rnacentral:rRNA from 1 species
CCCUUAGAUGUCCUGGGCUGCACGCGCGCUACACUGAUGUGUCCAGUAAGCACCUAAUCUAUUCCGAGAGGAGCGGGUAACCUUAGCAAAGCACAUCGUGAUGGGGAUAGAUUAUUGCAAUUAUUAGUCUUGAACGAGGAAUUCCUAGUAAGCACAAGUCAUCAGCUUGUGUUGAUUACGUCCCUGCCCUUUGUACACACCGCCCGUCGCUCCUACCGAUUGAAUGUUCCGGUGAGCUCUUCGGACUGCGCGGUCUGCAGUUUCUGCGUUCCGUGCGGAAAGUUGUGCAAACCUUAACAUUUAGAGGAAGGAGAAGUCGUAACA